GAUGAACGCUGGCGGCGUGCCUAACACAUGCAAGUCGAGCGAUUCUCUUCGGAGAAGAGCGGCGGACGGGUGAGUAACGCGUGGGUAACCUGCCCUGUACACACGGAUAACAUACCGAAAGGUAUGCUAAUACGAGAUAAUAUGCUUUUAUCGCAUGGUAGAAGUAUCAAAGCUUUUGCGGUACAGGAUGGACCCGCGUCUGAUUAGCUAGUUGGUAAGGUAACGGCUUACCAAGGCGACGAUCAGUAGCCGACCUGAGAGGGUGAUCGGCCACAUUGGAACUGAGACACGGUCCAAACUCCUACGGGAGGCAGCAGUGGGGAAUAUUGCACAAUGGGCGAAAGCCUGAUGCAGCAACGCCGCGUGAGCGAUGAAGGCCUUCGGGUCGUAAAGCUCUGUCCUCAAGGAAGAUAAUGACGGUACUUGAGGAGGAAGCCCCGGCUAACUACGUGCCAGCAGCCGCGGUAAUACGUAGGGGGCUAGCGUUAUCCGGAAUUACUGGGCGUAAAGGGUGCGUAGGUGGUUUCUUAAGUCAGAGGUGAAAGGCUACGGCUCAACCGUAGUAAGCCUUUGAAACUGGGAAACUUGAGUGCAGGAGAGGAGAGUGGAAUUCCUAGUGUAGCGGUGAAAUGCGUAGAUAUUAGGAGGAACACCAGUUGCGAAGGCGGCUCU
rnacentral:rRNA from 1 species